UAAUCGGUGCACAGACAUACAUGCAAGCAAACUAUCCAGACACAUGAAACAUAAAAAUUUUUAAAAAAUCUCGAUGGUGCUUUCGCAGGAUUUUUAUGGCACCUGAAUGAAUGUGUCAUUAGUGAACGCACUGGCCUUGUCUCUGUGUCUUGAAUUAUCAUCAGGUCUGAAGGGCUUCAACUGCCACUGAAGCGCUGGACAGAUAGUGUCACCUGCCAGCAGGAAGUCAGGUUAUUUUCAUGAUGACAGCCCCCCGCCACCACCACCUUAGCCCUUCCCUUCUGAUGGUAAAGUGAGCUACAUGUGCAGCCUUGAGCUGGUGGCACUUUGGGGAGUGAGGACUCAAGAGUUUGUGUGGCACUCAGCGCAGAGGAAGGGAAGCUUGAAAAGGACACAGAUCUACAGGCAACACUGGAGACACAAGCCCUGGCUCAGAAGCCCUGGCCCAGCGUCUCAGGGACUUGAAACCUCAGAUCUACAGCACUCGACAUAUUCCCUGGACCGAUGGCGUGUUUGGUAACGAUCUGAUGGUGACGAUGAUGAGGGUGAGGGUGAUGGCAGCGAUGGCAGUGAUGAUGACGAAGAAUCCAUAGGCCUUCUGCAAUGAGUUUGUGUACCCUGCCUAGCGAGUCCUACACAUCACAGAUGUUAACAAUGACGACCGACACAGUUGCUGAAGCAGGAGGUGUGGGAGCCAGAUACGAGGCUAAUCAGUAGUUCCACUUCCAGAAGGAGCCAUGUCUUGGGCAGUAAGUGGCCCAAAGACGCCUUGAAGCAGGGCUUUUACUACCCUCGUCACUAUGCCUGUGCUUCUGUCUGGAGGAUUUUAUCAGAGCGGUUUGAACCUUGCUAGACAAAGGCUCAAUCCUCACCUCUAGCUGGGCUGAAAUCGGAAGGAUGCAAGGCUUAAAAAUCAGUAAUGAUACUCCCUGAUUCUCCCAUGCACGGGAGCAUUCCUUGUAUGAAAGUCAUUUGUGGGGGCUGGAGAAAUGGCUCAGUGGUUAAGAGCAUUGCCUGCUCUUCCAAAGGUCCUGAGUUCAAUUCCCAGCAACCACAUGGUGGCUCACAACCAUCUAUAGUGAGAUCUGGUGCCCUCUUCUGGCGUGUACAUGUUAGGAGAACAUUGUAUACAUAAUAAAUAAAUAAGUCUUUAAAAUAUUAGAAAGUCAUUUGUGGGGCACCUCCGCAUGUCGCUUACUUUACUA